CGGCCUGAGGUCGGACGAGGCUACCCGCUGAAUUUAAGCAUAUUACUAAGCGGAGGAAAAGAAACUAACGAGGAUUCCCUCAGUAACGGCGAGUGAAGCGGGACGAGCCCAGCGCCGAAUCCGGGCGCUUAUGGAGCGGACGGA
rnacentral:ncRNA from 1 species